rnacentral:sRNA from 1 species
AUGAAAGACCUUAAUAGGACAUGUCAUUCCAAAAUCAGUAGUACAUCAGAACAGGUAUGUACUUUUAAAGAUAGCAACAAAUUAAGUAAUUUUGAAUCCAGGACAAUACAUUUUCUUUCAAUAUAAAUUACAUGUGUGGUUUAUAAGUCCUCUUCUGUUGAAGUCGAAGGGGCUUUAGGUUUGCACUCCGUCCGUCCGUCAGUCCGGCAAAUCAGUUUUCACAAUUUUUUUUUCUUUCUUGAAGAUAUUUGAUAUUUGGUACAUUGUAUAUUGUUAACUCAUGACAAGUUUGGAUUUUGGUCCGGUCUGGAAAAUGUGUGUGCAUAGUUGCUGUCCCUAAACUUAAAAAAUCACUCAUUCACAUGUAGUUAUUUUUCCACGUACACUUUCUUUCGUUAUGCUUUAAGAUAUUGAUGUAAUAUUUGUUCUUAAGUUUACUAAUGUCAAAUUAUAGAUAAAGCUAGCAUUUCGUUCCAGUACAAUUGAUUUUAAUCGGUAGACAUAGGUGACUAUGUAUUGCCACGCAAUACUCUCAGAAUUCUUGUUAUAUAUGUAUGGUAAUUUAAUUCACAUAAUUGACAAACCUGAAAUAUAUUUAGGUAUAUAUAAUAUUAUAUGUACAAUGUACAUGCACAUAACUAAAACGAUGUACUAGUACACAAAUAACAAUGCCUGGACUAUAAAUAUAUACACAUAGAUGAAAGAAGUUGUGGUACAUGUACGAGUGCCAAUGCGACAACUCUCCGUUCAAGUCACCACAAUUUAUAAUUUAAAUUAUGAUGGGUCAAAAUAUAGUCUUUAACACAGAGCCUUGGCUCACACAGAACAUGCAUGUUUACAGUAUCAUGUAUAUAAUUAAAAAAAACAUGAUUUAAAAGUAUCUUUCCUUUCAGGUCCAGGUUAACAAAACCCACUUACUUCAGCAACAGAUUGACGAAGAAGAAAAACUACCAACUUUGAAAAAACCGAAUGGAUCCAAGUAUACAUGUAUGCUUCAACCUAUUUCGUCAGGGAUUGCAGAAAUCCCGAAUGAAGAAUGUGAAACUAUUAUUGUAUCAGACCAUGGAUCAUCUGAUUAUGGUACCUUCAAGAUUGAGGUGUCACAACCAAAAUCAAAAGAAUUAGAGAAAACUGUUCCUUCAACAUGUCAAAUAACAAAACCACUAGAAUUAUAUGUGCCGUUUCAUUCUUCAUCUUUAAAACUUCUCUUUGAAAAUGGUAAAAUUUAAAGUAAGUGGGAUAAGUUUAUUGAAGAGACGGCAUACCAUGUACAAUCAGUUGGUGGCAUGAUAUCACUAGGCACUUACUAAGAAUUUGGUAGACUGAUGUGUAAGAGGUACCCAUGCUUAGUCCGUAAAUCAAUGAAAGAACCAUUGUUAUGUAUUUUAUUCAUAUGUAGCCAUUUGAAAUGGGUAGAUAUUUUAUAGUAUGUUAACUGAUAAUUUGAUGCAUAGGCAUUAUAUAUUGAUAGGUCUUGUUGGUAGGAUUUUUCACAUGUUUGAAAAAAAAAUAAUCACUAAUCAUGUUGAUGAUAAUCUAUUUAAACCCUAAGCCUAAACUUUCAAACAAAGAAUAUAAGGUUAUUUAAAUAACUAGAAAGAUUAUAUCAUUGGAAACAUGUGUAACCAAUUUUUUAAAUUGAUAUUUAAAAAAACUACCUUGACCAAAUAUAUUUAACCUGAAGCGGGACAGAUUGAAAACACGGACCAAAAAGCAUAAUACCUCUCUACUAUCAAAGGUUUGGCUUACAAUAUAAGAAGAUUGCUAUGACAUCCUCUGUCAAUAUUGCAUAAAAUUGUGGUUCUGAACUUAUGAUCAAAUCCAUUUUAUUUUUUAAUUAGAUCUGACUUCUUGUACAAUUUCUUUUUUUGGUCUUACUUUUGAUCUUUGUAGAGAUAUUUUAACAAAAAUUGUCUCAAAAGAUUAGAAACAUCAGAUGGAAAAGGAAUGUACGUAGUAAAAUGCCAAGUGAUAGUAACCAAGGACCGAAAAAACGAAGACACACAAAUUGUUCUGGAACUCAUUCAUCAUUUGUUCUUCAUUUGAUUAUCAUUUUAUAUUGUUAAUGUUUCAUUGCGUACAUCGCUUUACGUGUUGAACUGGUCCGGCCAGUACAGUGAAAAAGCUGCAACUUGCCUGUUGUUUUUCUUGAAUAACGUACGCAACUCUACGACAGUAAGCAGACCAAUAACAAAGUUUCAACAACAAAGUUUUGUGCUAGUAAAUUGACGACAACCUGUCUCUACGUAUCUAGAUAAGGUACGACAACGUACAUACCUUUACACUGACAGUGGACAACAUAUCUUGUUUGUACUCGGCAGCAACCCAACAACGUUGAGUCAACAUGGAUCCCAGUCAUGUGGAACAACAAGAAAAGAUUCAGCCCCCAGAUGGAGAUGUCCCUGAACUAUUAGAAAAUCCGUCUAAAACAACACAUGUAGAUGAAAAUCCCGAAGACUAGGCGAGCUCGUGACCUCACGAAAAAAGGUAAAGGAGCUUUUCACUGAAAAACGUGACAAGUUCUGUCAGGAACUAGAGGCCUCUUGUCAGAUAAACAUUGAAUCCCAGUUAUUGGAAAUCACCAACGCCUCCUAACGACUUCAGCAACUCUUAACAGCCCAGGACAAACUUGUUAAAGCCUGUACAUAAUUAUCGUAGGCUCACAGACGAAUACCUGGACUUUCUGAAAAGGACCAGAACAUUGGACAGUCAAAAAGAAAUUAGAUGCAUGUAAACUCUCUGGAUUUUCGUCUGUCCAAAAGUGGAACUGGUCAUGGAAAAACUACACGAGCAUCGCCUUCGCCCUCACAAAGGCUAAAUCAACUAAAACAAAGACCUCAAAGGGUAAGAAAACCUUCCACAGCGGUAGCUCUAACGUGUCAGACAUGUCAAGUCUAGCACGGAGGAAGCGUGCCAACGCAGAGGCCGCUAAAUCAAAAAUAGCCUUUUUUUUAACAACAUUCACUUGUCCUUCAACAAGAGGCUAUGUUGGAGGAACAAGCCCUGUUCAGACAAUCUGAAAUGGAACAGGAAGCACAAGCAAGACGGCUGAAAUGGAACAAGAAGCAGCAAGCAAAAAGGCUGAAAUGGAACAAGAAGCAGCACGCAAAAAGGCUGAAAUAUUACAGGAAGCUACACGUUCAAAGGCUAAAAUGGAACAUGAGGCAGAACAAGAGGCUGCACGUGUAAGCCGAGCUGAAGGCCAAGUUAAACCUUAUAGAAGCAGACAGGCUGCAGCCGCAGAAGCCGAGGCUCGUAUCCUGGAAUACGACAGCCAAGCAGUUUAGCGAUCUCCCUGACGAAAAGGAAGACCCGCUCCAGCGUGUGCAAGAUUUCGUCAAUAAACUUCCUGUAUCAACUGCUGUAAAGGAAGUAACAGGACCUCAAAAGAUAAAACAAAUUCCUGUUUAGAUUGAGCUGAGUCAUGAAGCACCAGCGUUCGUGCCAUCUGUGGCACUGAACUUGCCGUCACAGACAUCUGCUGUCUUGCCUUCCGAUACUAAGUCUACGGAAGUUACCUUAAUCCCAGAUCUGGGAAUAGUAACUGGCAUACAAAAAGUAAGCCUUUCAGAUGAGAUCCCUGCUGAACACCAAAAACAGGGAAGAAGUUAUAGAAGAGAUCCCUGCUUCAAACCAAAAACAAGGUGUAAUAGAAGAGACCCCUGUUGCAUACCAGCAACAAAUUAAUCCUACGUCGGAGAUAACUAGAUUUCUUCUACGCAAAGACCUAUUGUUCUCCCGGCUAACAAAUUUUAAUGACCAGGCAGAAUCCUUCCAUACAUGGAAAUCUAGCUUUAAAAACGUCAUAGACGAAUUACAAGUUUCUGACUCGGAACAAAUAGACUUACUGAUUAAGUGGCUAGGGCCAGAGUCUGGUAAACAUGCCAUAAGUAUUAGGGCAUCAAAUGCCAACAACCCUACUAGAGGCCUACAGAGGUUAUGGCAAAGACUAGAUGAGCGAUAUGGUGCUCCAGAAAUGUUGGAAGCCUCUCUCAGGAGUAAACUUGACAAAUUCCCAACCUUGACGAAUAAGGACAACGCACGUCUCUAUGAACUGUCUGACAUUCUAUCAGAAAUAGAAUACCACAAGGAAAAUCCCAAGCUGGGAUGUCUGCUAGCUUAUUUUGAUUCACCGACCGGAAUAAACCCUGUCAUUGAAAAACUACCCUAUGGACUUCAGGAAAAGUGGAUUACAAGGGCGUCUAGAUACAAAUCUAACCACGGCGUUGCCUUUCCUCCUUUUACAGAGUUAUCUGCAUUCAUCAGUGAAAUCAGUAGAAUUAAAAACGAUCCUGGAUUCAUUUUUGGGUCAAGAGUCACACCAAGUACAAAAGGUGCUGCGCCAAGGUUCACACCUCAGCCUGGAACAAAAAUCAACGUUCACAAGACACUGCGGUCGAACAACGAUCUGGAGAGACUGCACAGCAACAAAAUCUGUGCAUAAUAAUACACAAUACCGAACAUUCGCUAAAUGAAUGUCGUGGGUUCAGAGCUAAAACUAUAGAGGAACGCAAGGAACUGUUGAGGCAAAAUAAUCUUUGUUACAAAUGCUGUGAUUCGACUAUGCACAGAAGUCGUGAUUGCAACGCGAGUAUCAGUUGCAAUGAAUGCGGAAGUAAACAACACACCACCGCAUUACACACAAAUCGAGUGUACCAAACCAAAGGUGCACCGCCUUCACCGCCUAGAUCAGUCGACGGCGGGGAGCAACUUGAGUUAGCUGAAACCAAGCUAACCUCUGUUAGUUCAACUUGCACAGAUAUCUCCAAAGACGGCAACAGUAGUAAAUCUUGUGCCAAGAUACUUCCUGUGAAUGUCUCACAAAAAUAAUCAGGACAAAGUAAUUCGCAUGUAUGCAAUUAUUGACGACCAAAGCAACCGGUCUCUCGUGGCUCCUGAAUUCUUCAGCCUAUUCAACGUACACAGAAACAACAGACUAUUUGUUAUCCACAUGCUCCGGCAGUAAGGUUACUUCCGGUAAACGAGGAAAUGGCUUUGUCGUGAAGUCUGUACAAGACAAUUCUAGAUUCAAUCUGCCUGAACUGAUUGAAUGCGAUAACAUUCCCAAUAAUCGGAACGAAAUUGCUACGCCUGAGGAUAUAUUGCAAUAUCAACACUUGCAAGAACUACAAAAACAUAUUCUCCCGAUUGAUGGAAAAUGCAAAAUCCUAUUGCUCAUUGGAAGAGACCUUAUAGAGGCACAUCAUGUCCUUGAUCAACGUCUAGGACCACCAAAGGCUCCAUUUGCGCAAAAGUUAAACCUUUGGGUUGGAUUAUCGUUGGAGAAAUACGCUCCGAUAAGCAACAUGUUCACCUUGAACUCACUACAAAGGAAACAAUCCAACUUGCAGUGUUGUGAAACCACAUACAAAGAAAUUACCUGAAUGUAAUAAAAGCAACACCUAGUCAAAUGAAAUUCAAACUUUAUUACAUAAAAAAAUCACCGUAUGAAAAGAUGAAAUAUAUGGGUCAAGUGAAAUACCUAUCUAAUGAAUCACAAAAACAGAGUAGAUGUUUUCAAAUAGCUUUUUUUUACUAAAAGUACUUGACGAUAGUCUUUUAAGUUGGAUGAUGAAAAUGCAUAUCUUCGAAAAAAUAUUUUGUUUGUGUGUGAUAACUAGGGUUUAUAAUCUUCAACCACUGAAAACUUUUUAGUCUGCCCUUCCACGAAAUAUUUAAUUAGAUUUUUUUUAAAUGUUUAAGAAUUUUCGAAAAUUCCACCUGACAACCGAUCAGACAAUAUUUUUAAGUUGAAUCAAUGCAGACAAGAUCAUUCACUGAUGCUCAUUAGCUAGUAGAUACAUUUGUCUUUUAAAAUACAACUGACAUAUAAGGAUCGUAAUGGUACUAUGUGGAUAAAUUUAUCGGUUUUCAAGAGCAAAAUUGGUAGCGCGUCAUUCCUACAAUGGCUUCCAAUUCUUUGAUUGUGAAAAUGAACUAGCGUAAUGGGGAAGUGACGAAGUAGAAUCCUGACUGGGCUGUUAUCACAUUAAAUCGGUUUCAUAAAUGUGUUUAGGAAAGUGUAUAGGCUCUAAUCACAAUUUUUAGAGUGUAAAUAUGCAUCAUAUAAAUUAGGUAAUAUUUUUUGGGAGAAAGCUUUGAUAAAUAUUUUAAGAAUCUGAGAUCUUUAUUAAAGGACGAAAAAUCAGAAGGUAAUACCGGUAUGCCUGUGCCAAGUGAUAUAUCUCUAGAUUUAGAAGAAACUAUACGAGUGCCAAUGAGGCAACUCUCCAUUCAAGUCACAAUGAUUAGCUUAUCUGUAUUUGGCAAAAUUUUCAGGAUUUGUUUGUUCUAUUCUCUACGAAUUCGUUCUUCAAUUGGUCUUUUGACUUGUCUAAUGUGUCUUUUGUAGACGAAUCGCUCGAAUACCAAAGUUUAAUCUUGGUUACUAUGAUGAGUGUUAUCGUAGGAUUUAUUGAUUGUUGGUUGCUUAACAUCCAGUGGCAAAUAGUUCAUAUAAUAUUAUGUUCAGGACGCCUAUAUAGAGAACCUAUCUAUUGUUUAUUUGUACUAGUCCUUUAUAUGCAUAAAUGUACCACUAGACGUUAAGCAACAAACAAUCGCAUCUCUUGUUUUUCUUAACCCUGUGACCUCAAGCAACACAUUCAGAUGUUACAGCUGAUUUAUAUGUUUUUCCGACAGGACCACAACACCCCAUCAACAAUAUUCAUCAAUGAUAUAAUAAAGGCAACAGUAAUCUAAUAGUUUCAAUGACUUCAAAGUGUAAAGUUAACCACUUAUUAAGCACUAUUAACGGUUUAACGAGUGUACCGGAUUCUUCAAUCGUCAUGAAUUAUUUAAAUAACUUUAAUUUGAAGAUAAACGGUUGUUCCCUUGUUAAACGUCCAGUGGCCAAUAUUUCAUGGAUGUUCAUGACAUAUUAGCAACAGAGACAUAUAAUACAAGAGAUUGGCAACUCUAGUAGAGGCUGUAUAACGGCCAAUGAAAUCACUUGGCUACCGGAAGUGCUUGGGAUGAUGAUGUGACAUGGGGUGAAGAUGAGCAAAUUCCGCCAUUGUUGUAAAGAGAGACGAUACUCUUAAAUAUUUUUUUAUCGUUUAUGUCCAUUGUUUUCACAGCUAAAGCAUACAAGUAUAUUCAAAAGAAACAUGUUACUAAUUCUACUAAUUUGUUUAUACUUUAAUGUGCUGCUAUGAUGUUAAUAAUCAAAUACAGACCAAUUUAAAUUCGGUCCAUUCAGCUUCCCCUCUUUAUUGCUGUAGAACAGUUCUGGUCCACCAUUUUUUUUUCAUAAAACAUAGAAAUUUAAGAAUGUAUAUACAUUUUUGUAGUGUUUUUCUACUCCCGAUUGUUAUCCAAUUAAAAUGAGACUAUUUUCGUAUAGUUUGGUCAAAUAGUGUUUUCAUAAAAUACCAUCAAAGGGGAUUUUUUUUUUCGCAAUGAUACCCAAAUCCAGCUAUGAACUACCAUUUUUUUCAUGAAACUUAGAAAUUAACGAAUAAAUUUGCAAUUUAAUAAGCUUAUAUUACUUCCAAAUGUUAUCUUGUUAAAAUAAGACCAGUUUCGUAAAAUUCGAUCCUAUAGUGGUUUCUAAAAAUUUCAGCAAAGGUGACUAAUAUUUUCAUAUUGAUACCAAAAAAACUAGUCCAAAUAAUUAUGACGUCUGGCAAUUUAUCAAGAUCAAAUUGAUAUGAAUUGUUUCACAUCAGUCAAAGCAAUCUGCCAAUCGUAACAUUUAUCAUGUUUAUUGAUAUUGACUUGUGUUUAGUGUUUUGGAAUAUUGGUAUUGAACUCUUUUUUAGAAUGUUAGAUGUGUAUAUAUUUGUUUUAAUUUUUUGCGGUAUUGGUUUGUUUUUCAUACAUGUAACCAUUGCAAGAAAUUUGUUGACUUCUAUCUUGAUAAAAUUCUAUGCAUGCAUAUAUUAUAUAUAUUUGUACAAUAAUGAGACAAAAUAAUUUGAGAUGUUAUUAUUAUUGUAGGUAUGUUUGAAGAGAAUUACAAAAGUUAUGUAGGAGUAUUGUUUGAUGAGAUCCGGAUUAAAGAAGACCUUGUUUAUGACAAGCACACAGGAGAAUUAAUUUGGUACUGUGAUUUAGACUCUAUAAGCAACCAAAUCAUGAACUUAGAGAAAGAUGUAAAUGACAGCAAACCAACACAAGUGGCAAAGUUCUUGCUAGUGAUAAUGGUCCGAGGUAUAACUACGAAUCUCAAGUUUCCUUUCGCAGGCUUUGCAACAAACAGUAUAACUGCAGACUUUUUAUAUCCGAUCUUUUGGAAAGCUGUAUCAAUCCUUGAAUGCUCCGUUAAACUUAAAGUCCUAUUUUGUACAUGUGACGGAGCCUCUGCAAACAGAUUUUUUUCCAAUUGCACAAAUUAGACAACAGUACAGAACCUGUGUAUUUCACAAAGAACCACCAUGAUGAGAACCGUAACUUAUAUUUCAUUUCUGAUGUGCCACAUCUGUUGAAGACCGCCAGAAAUUGUUUAAGCAAUGCGUAUUCCCACAAGAAAACUCGUCAGUUAUAGAAUAGGGAAAAAGACAUUUCAUGGAUGCACUUAGGCCGUUUGUUUGAAGAACAUUGUGAACAAGAUAUUUAUAGUCCAUGUCCAAAAUUGUCCAGACCGC